UAGAGUAAUGCGUGACCAACCUGCCCCAUGCUCCAGAAUAGCUCUUGGAAACGGGUGGUAAUGCUGGAUGCUCCAACUUGACGCAUGUCUUGUUGGGAAAGUGUUUAGUGGCAUGGGAUGGGGUCGCGUCCUAUCAGCUUGUAGGCGGGGUAAUGGCCCACCUAGGCUUCGACGGGUAGCCGGCCUGAGAGGGCGGACGGCCACAUUGGGACUGAGAUACGGCCCAGACUCUACGGGAGGCAGCAGGC
rnacentral:rRNA from 1 species